UAGGGAAUCUUCCGCAAUGGACGAAAGUCUGACGGAGCAACGCCGCGUGAGUGAAGAAGGAUUUCGGUUCGUAAAACUCUGUUGUUAGGGAAGAAAAAAUGUAUAGUAACUAUAUACAAAAGAGACGGAACCUAACCAGAAAGCCACGGCUAACUACGUGCCAGCAGCCGCGGUAAUACGUAGGUGGCAAGCGUUGUCCGGAAUUAUUGGGCGUAAAGCGCGCGCAGGUGGUUAGAAAAGUCUGAAGUGAAAGGCAGUGGCUCAACCAUUGUAGGCUUUGGAAACUGUUUAACUUGAGUGCAGAAGGGGAGAGUGGAAUUCCAUGUGUAGCGGUGAAAUGCGUAGAUAUAUGGAGGAACACCGGUGGCGAAAGCGGCUCUCUGGUCUGUAACUGACGCUGAGGCUCGAAAGCGUGGGGAGCGAACAGG
rnacentral:rRNA from 1 species